GGGAACCUCACCCGGCCCGGACACCGCGAGGAUUGACAGACUGAGAGCUCUUUCUCGAUUCGGUGGGUGGUGGUGCAUGGCCGUUCUUAGUUGGUGGAGCGAUCUGUCUGGUUAAUUCCGAUAACGAACGAGACCCCAACCUGCUACUAGCCCUCGGGUCCUGCUUCUGUUGGGCCCGACGGAAUGAUUCGCUUCUUAGAGGGACUCGCGGCGCCUAGCCGCACGAAGGGGGGCGAUAA
rnacentral:rRNA from 1 species